GGUGAGCGCUGGCGAUGUGCUUAAUGCAUGCAAGUCGUACGCUUGUAAAAGCGUGGCAGACGGGUGAGUAACGCGUGGGAAACUACUCUAGUCCGGGAAAUACCUCAUCGAAAGGUGAGUUAAUGUCCCAUAGUCCCAGUCCUUUUUUAAAGAGCUGGGUAAAGCUCCGGCGGAUUAGAAGGUGCCUGCGUCCCAUCAGCUUGUUGGUAAGGUAACGGCUUACCAAGGCUAUGACGGGUAGGGGAGCUGAGAGGUUGACCCCCCACACCGGAACUGAGAUACGGUCCGGACUCCUACGGGAGGCAGCAGCAGGGAAUAUUGCGCAAUGGACGAAAGUCUGACGCAGCGACAUCGCGUGAAGGAUGACGGUCCUCGGAUUGUAAACUUCAAUAAUUUAUUAAAAAAUCUUGAUUGAUAAACGAAAGCCCUGGCUAACCACGUG
rnacentral:rRNA from 1 species